UCUGCCUGGCUCCCCCCAGACUCUCUGCUUUUAGUAACAGCAGGUCUCUCUGCCUCUCACUUCCACUGGCUCUCGUUCCUGUGCUUGGAGAGGAAGAGACCCAGAAGAAGCGAGGGAUGGAGGGAAGGAGGAUGCUGCUGGCUGGAGAUGAGUGUGGAAGGUCAAGAACAGUCCAGUUUUUUAAAAAAAUAAGUUACAAACUUAGAUGGAAAUCCUGUACCCUUUUCUAGCUCCAUUAUGGGGGAGGGAGGGAGUGUCCCAGUAGUGGGCUGUGAAGAGCCUGCAGCUUUUGCAGAUGGCUCCGCAGGAACUCCCCCAGGAGUGACUCCAUGAAGGGCAAGCCCCCCAAAUGGAGAUUCUGGAAAGAAACCGUCACAUACAGCCAACUCUAGCUCCAGCUCCACCUCCCGUGGGACUUCGCAGACUUCCCGCCAGACCUCGGGGAGGCUUGGAGAUGAGAUCUUGGCCAAACCUGGGAUCUCACGAAGAUUGCUCUGUCUGCUGGGGGAUUUAUAACAGGCAGGUGGCCUGAGAUGAGAGGCCAGACUGGGAGGAGGGCUCAGGGGCAACAGAGCCCUAUGACCCCUAGGAGACCUGGCAGUCGGCAGAAGGCAAAUGAGGGGCUUGUGAACAUAACAAGUCCCUCCGCGGAGGCUGAGGUCCCAGCUCCAACAAUUCUCUAAGCCCCACCUGCCCCCAAAGCCCCCAGUUCGGGAGUCGAGAGCGCACACCUGAAGAGGGACGAGGGGCCAUGCUUACAGGCUUACAAUCUCACGUCCAAGCCAGACACAUCUUGGACUGAAAGGAAACUGGCCUCCCCACCACACUACCCCGCACCUUAAGGGUCCCAGUGAAUAUGGGCUUGUGGGCCAGCCCCCACCAACAGGCACAGUUACCAUCCACAUCCCCAGUCAGCUGGUGUGACUCCACAGACCAAGACAUGGGUGACAGAGCAUUCCUUCCUCCCCAAAGUUUUGCCCAGCAGCCAGGCGAGGUUUUGCCAUUUGGCAGCAAGCCGGCUGUCUUCCCGAUGGAUUAUUGACUUGUGCUGUAACCAAUCAAUGGUAGCCAGCCUUCAUUCCAAAAGACGGUGUCCCACCCCUCUCUGUUUCUUUUUCCAUUCCAGGUCUGAGGACUGCAAAGCAGAAGAAAGAAAGAAAGGGCGGAGGCCAGGAACCAUAGAGCAGAGGGCCUUCCUCCACCCAGCCCAGGACAUUCCCCAACACUUGCUGGGUUGCCAUGAUGCUCUGCUCUAGAUGAGCUUCCGUGGGCUGGAUCACCAGCCCUCCUCACACGAUGAGAUCUAAGAUUUCUUCCUCCAGCAAAAUGAAGCCAGCUCUUCCAAUUCAUCUAAUAGCAGCAGUCCUGCACGUGGCUGUGUCCAGAGUCAACCAGCUGGACCCAGGGACGCAGGGAUAUUCUUAUUGAGCUUUUUUUCUCCUGCGCCACAAACUCCUGCUGCCUCCACUCCCGGGGUCCUUGUCUCAUUUGAGACCACUUCAGAAUCUUUUCUAUGUCAUCCUUGUCUGGACCCAGUUCUUGUCUGCCAUUACGGAAGAUGUCAAAGACGUCAGGUCGUUGGGUGGUCAACUCCAUUCCUAUGAUAAGGACGAGGCCAUGGAAGCCGUACUGACUAUGGGAAACACCUAUAUCAGGCAGCAGCGAUAUAGGAAGAUGCUGAAAGGCUCAUACUGCGUGGGAGAUGGCCAUGGUAAACCCCUACCAAAGAAAACCACAUGGCUCUGUGCUUGCCAGGAGCCAACACAGACUCGACGGCACAACUUAAGGGAUCUUUUCUUUUUCUUUUUCCUUCUUUCCUCUUCCUCCCCCACUUUCAGUAAUACACAGAUAUAAUUGUUAUCCUUGAUUAUGUUAUAUACUGUACAUACUACUUUAAACUUAUUUGAAAUAAAAGAGAGAAAUUACAUUGUGGUUUGAAGGCCCUACAUCACUUGUUAGAAUCCAGAACACCUCAAUUCUAAGCUUUUAAAGGUCUAGAAUUCCUAUUUGAUGGCAUAAACGUAAAAAUCUCAGUAGCAAGAGACCAGUAUUGGAAGAUUAAAAAGAUGUUUCCUAUGUGGUGUUUUUUUUGCCUAUUUGAGUAUUUUUGUCAGGCUAAGUCAUGUUUUACACAUGUCAAGUUACUUAUUCCAAAAUAAAAUGAACACUGUGCACUGUAACCUA